rnacentral:rRNA from 1 species
AACGAACGCUGGCGGCAGGCCUAACACAUGCAAGUCGAGCGAGGACUUCGGUCCUAGCGGCGGACGGGUGAGUAACGCGUGGGAACGUGCCCUUUGCUUCGGAAUAGCCCUGGGAAACUGGGAGUAAUACCGGAUGAGCCCUUUGGGGGAAAGAUUUAUCGGCGAAGGAUCGGCCCGCGUUGGAUUAGGUAGUUGGUGGGGUAAUGGCCUACCAAGCCGACGAUCCAUAGCUGGUUUGAGAGGAUGAUCAGCCACACUGGGACUGAGACACGGCCCAGACUCCCACGGGAGGCAGCAGUGGGGAAUCUUAAAAAAGGGGGGAAACCCUGUUUUACCCAUGCCGGGGGAGGGAUGAAGGCUUUAGGGUUGAAAAGCUCUUUCAGCUGGGAAGAUAAUGGCGGUACCAGCAAAAGAAGCCCCGGACAACUCCGG